rnacentral:lncRNA from 1 species
AGGGUUCUGCUAUGUAGAAUUUGAUGAGGUGGAUUCCCUGAAGGAGGCUCUGACCUACGACGGUGCACUCUUGGGUGACCGGUCACUUCGUGUGGACAUUGCAGAAGGCAGAAAACAAGACAAAGGUGGCUUUGGGUUCAGGAAAGGCGGACCUGAUGACAGAGGAAUGGGUGGCUCUCGAGAACCGAGAGGUGGAUGGGAUUCCCGGGAUGACUUCAGCUCUGGUAUCAGUAUUUAACAUUCCACUCUUCCCUCGCUCCCUUGUCUCUCAGGAGCGUUCAACCUAGACAGGCUUUUAGUUCCUCCCAAAAAGUCUCCAUGCUAAGCCUCAGGGCUGGGCAGAGAAGUCAGGCCCCUCCUUUUGCUCUCCUCUGAGCCUGUUGCUGGGGCUAUAGCCAGGACAACUCUUAGGUUUGUAUACAGUACAGAAAGAGAUAGCAGUGAUUUUGGAAAUAACUUAGAGGCUCCAGAGCUGCCGAGGAAACCUCUCCGGUAUGGGUCCUGGUGGCCAGUGUUUCUCUCUCUUGAAGGGCAUGGAGCUCUGCUUCUUCACUUCAGGGUAAGAUAGGUUGAUCAGAGGAUGUCUGCAUCAGUAGGGAUGAGAGGCACAGACUAGAGCAGUCAGAAAUGAACUUGCUCAUAAAAGUACAGUAGCAGUGAGCAGUAAGUCUGUAAUUUUAUGUAUGAGCUGGUUUCUGACUAAAACGCGCAGCAUAUGUCUCAGCCAGCCCGGCAAGGAAGCAGCUCCUGAGGGGAAGCAGCUCCAUAGGGCCUCAGGUCCUGGAGAGACCUAAUUCUAGGGCCAGAGCCUUUCCCAGUUGCCUUGUUUCAGCCAAGAAUGCAGUGGGAACCCUUGCCUUACCACUCUUGGGUCCCAGAGGCAGCUGCCAGGGUGAUGCCCUCUAAGACACCUGUGGAUCUGACUUAAGUAUUCUGACAGUGUUCUAAAGGAGUGGGGCCUUUUUCUCUUUUUUAAAUAGAGGGGAAUACAGUGAAGAGAGGA